GGCCUUUUGAGUAUGAUUUAAGGUCUAACCUGCCCAAUGAGUUUUUAAAUGGCCGCGGUAUUUUGACCGUGCAAAGGUAGCAUAAUCAUUAGUUUUUUAAUUGAAAGCUGGAAUGAAAGGUUGAAUGAAAAAAUAACUGUCUCUAUUUAAAUUCAUUAGAAUUUUAUUUUUAAGUAAAAAAGCUUAAAUUUGGUUAGAAGACGAGAAGACCCUAUAGAGUUUUAUUAAUGGAUAUUAUAAAAUUUUAGUAUUAAAGUUUUUGUAAUUAAAAUUAAUUUAAUUGGGGUGAUUGAAAAAUUUAAUAAACUUUUUUUUAAUUUAAACAUUUAUUUAUGAGUAUUUGAUCCUUUUUUAAAGAUUAAAAGAUACAAUUACCUUAGGGAUAACAGCGUAAUUUUCCUAGAGAGUUCAAAUCGAAAGGAAAGAUUGCGACCUCGAUGUUGGAUUAAAAUAAAAUUUUGGUGUAGAAGCUAAAGUAUUUGGGUCUGUUCGACCUUUAAAAUUUUACAUGAUCUGAGUUUAAACCGGCGUGAGCCAGGUUGGUUUCUAUCUCUAUUAAUAAAAAAUAUCCUAGUACGAAAGGACCGGGUAUUUGAUUAAAAAUUUGAUUAUAGGAUAAUAUU
rnacentral:rRNA from 1 species